rnacentral:miRNA from 1 species
CCUGACUCAUCCCCUUUGCUCC